CACUGCCUGCAGGAGCAAAGAAAAGAGCAAGGGCUGUCAGGAACGGUCCCUCACCACAGGUUGGCCCCAGCUUCCUGGGCCAGGAAGACUGGCAGAGCAAGGCAGCUGUGACUGCAGGCCCGGAGGGACAGAGUUAUUCCCUGAUACAGUCCUGUGAGGAUAAAAGGUUAAAGCUAGGAACAGGCUGAGUAAGAACUUUAUUCUAUGGCAGGCCAACCUGUGGCUGCAAAGGCACCGGGAGGGCCCAGAACAGAAAUAACCAACUAUGGCAGAUUCCUUUCAACACACUUGCAACACACCACCUGAUGUUCCUUUAGUUUUAUGAUUUAGUAGCCUAGUAAAUGCAAACAGCUGUGGGAGAGGGUUGCAUUUUGUACUUUUAAGGUACUUACACUUCAAUGGAAAUAAAUUUCAGAACUUUGCUUUAUAGAUUUGAGCCAGGAAGAUGAAGAGGCACUUUUGGCACUGAAAGAGGGUUACAGCAAGGUGGGCAGAAAUGUCAGGAGCUCUGAGGUUAAGAUGUAAGAAGGGUAUGCAGGUCUGGCUUCUGGAAGAUGGACGAUUCCCUACACACUUAUCUACCUUUCGGCUACACACACUUCCUGGCAGGGUUGACCCAACACAGUCAUAUGGCUCACACAGGAAGAGGAUACUCAUACUCCAAAAGUUUCAGAACAAAGAGGAGCAGCUGCAGACCUGGGUUCCUGCAUUGGCUUGGCUUUCAUCAGCCAAGGGACAACCUGCUGGGCUUCUACUUUCUCGUCAAUGAAAUGGAUGCAGAUAUCUUCCUGGCAGAUUUAAAGAUUAGAAUUCAUGUCUAUAGAGCUUCACAGUGCUCAGCAAAUGGAGGACAAUAAAAGAAAAUCAUUUUUGUAAUACUCACAUAUAAAAUAAUAUUUUUAGAAAAGUGUCUUUUGAAACUAAAUUAAAAUAAUAGUUCUGAAAGGGUUGGGAGUCCCUAUACAAAACAAAAUAGACUGUGAAUUUGUAACAACGAUUCCCACUAUUAUGUAAAAUUAUAAUGCUCCAAUUAAAAAAAAAUGCGGUGUGAAUUUGUAACAAUGAUUCCCACUGUUGUGUAAAACUGUAAUGCACCAAUUAAAAACAAAACCAAAAAAGGACAAAACUGCUUUGAUUCUUCAGUGCAGGUGGAGCAAAGCAUACCCCCACAUCCCAUUUCAGUGAGGUCACAGAUACCAGGCUGGAGGCACAGGCAGGAGCUUGAGUGCACAUGGGAGCCCCAUUGCUACCACUGAAGUUGUGUGAACACAGGCAAGUGACACCACCUCUCUGAGCCAGACACCUUAUCUGCAAAAUGGGCUAAAAACAGUACCCACCCUUAGGAUUAUUGAGUUCCUGUCUUUAAAAGUACUUCAAACAAUGCCUGAGACAUAGCAUUAAGAAAAUGUUUGAUAUAGAAAUAAGAAAAAUAUCACGAGCAGUUUUAUUAUGCCAUUUACUGUUCUGACUCUUCUUGAGGACAGCCACAUUUUAAAACCAGAGGAACAUGUAGGGUGUCUCCUUGAAUUUGCCUUCCUAUACCCCAGUUGCCACCCUUUUAUCAAACAGAAUUGCCAACUGCCUGAAGCAGCCAUUUCUCCUUGCAGCAGCCAGAGGGCCUACCGUGGGCACAGAGAAGCUGCAGUGGCUCUUAAUUAAGUCACCUGUGCUCACAUGCUGGUGUCCAUUCAGUGCCCCCUCCUGGAGCACUUGCCACUAGAGGCCAUAGCGGUCCUGCAGAAAAGUUUGAGACCAAAAUCACCUGUUCUCAGUCUCCUUUCAAACAUCUUAGAACUCUAGAAAGAACUGACCUCAUGAUAAAGUCACAUACUGAGUUGUAAAAAUGUUUGAGCAAUUUUCUCUCUACUUUGCUUUAAUUUCCUGAUUUUCCAAAAGAGGAAAAUAAAUCCCAGCCUCACUCAUCUUCAAUGUCUGCCUCAUCUGCUAUCUCCAGACUUACUCCAGAAUGAUGAAAUUCUCCGCAAUCCCUGGAUUCUACCUGGGAACUCCUCACCCAUUCAGGAAUACAGGAGGGAGCAAGGCUGUUUCUCCUAACAAUGGUCUCCCUAUAAUAUCCCAGUCAAUAAAAAAAAGUCAAGAGCACAACCCCAAGUAUGAGUCUGUGAAUAUUUUUAGUAUAAAUGCCGUAAAUGUAUGUACUCAUAUAUUGCCAUAUAAAACAAAUACAAAGUAGUGAAAAUAAAAUAAGUAUAUUAAUAUGUGUACUAGUAAAAGCAAUAUAAAAAUUUAAUAUAUCACAUUCCUACACCUCACUUUGGGGCCACCUUCUUCCAGGCCAGCUGCAGGGUCACAUGGGGCACAUCACAGUCAGCUGAGGGAUACGCAGGUUGAGAUGAAGCUACAUAAAUACCACUUGGGGAUUCAGCCCAAUGUUCAUUUUUAAUAGGAUGAUUACUGUUUGUGUUGUUGAUGCUCCAAUUACAAAUCUCCAUGGCUUUGAGGGUCUGGUUUAACCCUAGUUCUCCCAUAUGCUCCAUUAGUCUAUUAUUUAUUUACUUAUUUUUGUACCAGGUAUUGAACUCAGGGACACUCAACCACCGAGCCACAUCCCCAGACCUUUUUUGUAUUUUGAGACAGGGUCUUGCUGAGUUGCUUUGGGCUUCACAAAGUUGCUGAGGCUGGCUUUGAACUCAAGAUGCUCCCUUCCUUAGCCUCCUGAGCCGCAGGCAUUCCAGGUGUGUGCCAUUGUGCCUGGCACCCCAUUAGUCUUUAGCACACAAAUGGGCAGAAUAUGAAGACUUGAGGAACAUGUAUAUGUCAUGGUAGACUAAACGCCUGCUUUUUACUUGGUCUUCCUUUUGCUUUAAGCCAUCUGCUCCCUAAAUUCUGGCACUUGCCUAUAAACUUAAACCUAUUUGUGCUUAUGUAUUUUCUUUUUAAAAUAAAAAUUGUAGCUGCUUAAGAA